CCUGUUUCAUCCCCCUUCCCCGCCUCGCACCACCAACACCGCAGCCACCACACCAAAACCGUCAUCAUCAAAUCCAACCUCCGCCCUAAUUCCCGGUGAGCCACCGCCGCCCAGAACCGCUCAACGAAACUCCCCUGCCUCCCCUGUUCGCCUUUCCUUUCCUCUCCUUCCCCUCGCUGUACCGCCGCCGAACAAACCACCACCACCCUCGCCUUCACCGGCUUUUCCCGCCGCCACUAAACCCAGCCCCAUCGCCCUCCUUUUCGUGCUCUGCUCAGCCGUGCUCCCUCCCCCUCUGUUCGUACCUCUCAAAAAAAAAAAAAAAAGGAGAGAAUCAGUUUCAAUUGAAACUGAUUCAUUUUCCUCCAACCCAAAUUUAAGUUGGGCCAACUUAACCAUUUGGGCUUUGGAAAUUGGACUCGGAGCUCAGGACGAACGAACUAAGGAAAAUUCUUAGCAAAAUCGUGGAAGUGAGGUACCGCUGGGAUCGAUGGGAACGAGUAGUGGCGAGGAUUUCACUUUAAUAAUUCCCACCUAGUUUAUGCCUUAAGUUUUAAUAGUUUAAUUAAAGACUUUUUUUGUAAUUUAUGUACCUUUAUUUU